rnacentral:rRNA from 1 species
CCUACGGGCGGCUGCAGUGGGGAAUUUUGGACAAUGGGGGCAACCCUGAUCCAGCCAUGCCGCGUGCGGGAAGAAGGCCUUCGGGUUGUAAACCGCUUUCGGCCGGAACGAAAUCGCCGGGGAGAACAUCCCCGGUGGAUGACGGUACCGGAAGAAGAAGCACCGGCUAACUACGUGCCAGCAGCCGCGGUAAUACGUAGGGUACGUGCGGUAAUCGGAAUUACUGGGCGCAGAGCGUGCACACACGGGUGAAAGCCCCGGGCUUAACCUGGGAACUGCGUUUGUGACUGGCGGGCUGGAGUGCGGAAGAGGGAGGUGGAAUUCCACGUGUAGCAGUGAAAUGCGUAGAGAUGUGGAGGAACACCGAUGGCGAAGGCAGCCUCCUGGUCUAGCACUGACGCUCAUGCACGAAAGCGUGGGGAGCAAACAGGAUUAGAUACCCGGGUAGUC